CCUACGUGAUGCAGCAGUAGGGAAUCUUCCACCAUGGGCGAAAGCCUGAUGGAGCAACGCUGCGUGGGUGAAGAAGGUCUUCGGAUCGUAAAACCCUGUUGUUAGAGAAGAAAGUGCGUGAGAGUAACUGUUCACGUUUCGACGGUAUCUAACCAGAAAGCCACGGCUAACUACGUGCCAGCAGCCGCGGUAAUACGUAGGUGGCAAGCGUUAUACGGAUUUAUUGGGCGUAAAGGGAACGCAGGCGGUCUUUUAAGUCUGAUGUGAAAGCCUUCGGCUUAACCGGAGUAGUGCAUUGGAAACUGGGAGACUUGAGUGCAGAAGAGGAGAGUGGAACUCCAUGUGUAGCGGUGAAAUGCGUAGAUAUAGGGAAGAACACCAGUGGCGAAAGCGGCUCUCUGGUCUGUAACUGACGCUGAGGUUCGAAAGCGUGGGUAGCAAACAGGAUUAGAUACCCUGGUAGUC
rnacentral:rRNA from 1 species